UAUAAGAGGUCUCGCCUGCCCUGUGACUAUAAGUUUAACGGCCGCGGUAUUUUGACCGUGCGAAGGUAGCGCAAUCACUUGUCUUUUAAAUGAGGACCUGUAUGAAUGGCAUCACGAGGGCUUAACUGUCUCCUCUCCCAAGUCAAUGAAAUUGAUCUUUCCGUGCAGAAGCGGGAAUAAACCCAUAAGACGAGAAGACCCUAUGGAGCUUUAGACACUAAAGCAGCUCAUGUUAAGACCCUCGAACAACAGGCUAAACUGAUUGACACCUGCCCUACUGUCUUCGGUUGGGGCGACCAUGGGGAAACAAAAAACCCCCACGCGGAUUGGAAGUAUGCCCUUUUUACACGCCUUCCAGAACCAAGAGCUCCCGCUCUAAGUAACAAAACAUUUGACCCUUAUAGACCCGGCAAAGCCGAUCAACGGACCAAGUUACCCUAGGGAUAACAGCGCAAUCCUCUUCAAGAGUCCCUAUCGCCAAGAGGGUUUACGACCUCGAUGUUGGAUCAGGACAUCCUAAUGGUGCAGCCGCUAUUAAGGGUUCGUUUGUUCAACGAUUAAAGUCCU
rnacentral:rRNA from 1 species